ensembl:lncRNA
CUCUUCUCACCUAAAUCAGUUUCCAAAGCUACCACUCCAUUGCCCUCAACUCAUCCUUUCCUCUCCACUAGGAACUCCCAGAAUGCCUUUCUGCUGAGGCUGCCCAUCCAUGACGAUUCCUGUUUGAACACGAGAAGUGGCAGAGCCAAGGAGAGGAAGGGAAUUGGCAAAAGUGUUCUUAGAAGAAUGGGCGAUGCAGAUUCACCAGACGUUUCACUGUAUGGCUUGACGAGUGGUGCUGGGUCUGCUCCUGGGAUCUGAACCUACGAACCCCAGGCCACCGAAGCACAGCAUGCCAACUCAACCACUACACCAUCAGGCUGGCCCCUGCACAAGUGUUUUUGAUGGAAGGAAAUGUAAAGGUUGGAGAGCCAGAGUCCAUGGCCGAGGAAGAACAAAGAUCUCUCUCCCGGAUGCAGCCAGCUGCCAAUGUGCCGAAGUUCGGAGUGGUUCUCUCAUUGAAGGACAACAGAUCUCUCAAAUAACGGAUGAUUUACUGACAGUCUUGCUGAGUCUCGUGCAUGGAAAGAUGGACUGGGGUCGAAAGGACUAAACUGGAAGCAGCAUCAGGUGGAGAAGGUGGCAUCACCAGACAUCACCAGCUGUCACUAAGCCUUGAAGACAUCCAGCUCUUUGUUCAACAGACACUGACGGAAAAUUCCUGUGGAC